rnacentral:rRNA from 1 species
AACGAACGCUGGCGGCAGGCCUAACACAUGCAAGUCGAGCGAAGCCUUCGGGCUUAGCGGCGGACGGGUGAGUAACGCGUGGGAACGUGCCCUUUGCUACGGAAUAGCCCCGGGAAACUGGGAGUAAUACCGUAUGUGCCCUUCGGGGGAAAGAUUUAUCGGCAAAGGAUCGGCCCGCGUUGGAUUAGGUAGUUGGUGGGGUAAUGGCCUACCAAGCCGACGAUCCAUAGCUGGUUUGAGAGGAUGAUCAGCCACACUGGGACUGAGACACGGCCCAGACUCCUACGGGAGGCAGCAGUGGGGAAUCUUAGACAAUGGGGGAAACCCUGAUCUAGCCAUGCCGCGUGAUCGAUGAAGGCCUUAGGGUUGUAAAGAUCUUUCAGUGGGGAAGAUAAUGACUGUACCCACAGAAGAAGCCCCGGCUAACUCCGUGCCAGCCGCCGCAGUAA